AGCCCAGAGCCUGAAUCAGUGUGUGUGUUAGUGGAAGCGUCUGGAAAGGCGCGCGAUACAGGGUGACAGCCCCGUACACAAAAAUGCACAUACUGUGAGCUCGAUGAGUAGGGCGGGACACGUGGUAUCCUGUCUGAAUAUGGGGGGACCAUCCUCCAAGGCUAAAUACUCCUGACUGACCGAUAGUGAACCAGUACCGUGAGGGAAAGGCGAAAAGAACCCCGGCGAGGGGAGUGAAAAAGAACCUGAAACCGUGUACGUACAAGCAGUGGGAGCACAGAGCAAUCUGUGUGACUGCGUACCUUUUGUAUAAUGGGUCAGCGACUUAUAUUCUGUAGCAAGGUUAACCGAAUAGGGGAGCCGAAGGGAAACCGAGUCUUAACUGGGCGUUAAGUUGCAGGGUAUAGACCCGAAACCCGGUGAUCUAGCCAUGGGCAGGUUGAAGGUUGGGUAACACUAACUGGAGGACCGAACCGACUAAUGUUGAAAAAUUAGCGGAUGACUUGUGGCUGGGGGUGAAAGGCCAAUCAAACCGGGAGAUAGCUGGUUCUCCCCGAAAGCUAUUUAGGUAGCGCCUCGUGAAUUCAUCUCCGGGGGUAGAGCACUGUUUCGGCAAGGGGGUCAUCCCGACUUACCAACCCGAUGCAAACUGCGAAUACCGGAGAAUGUUAUCACGGGAGACACACGGCGGGUGCUAACGUCCGUCGUGAAGAGGGAAACAACCCAGACCGCCAGCUAAGGUCCCAAAGUCAUGGUUAAGUGGGAAACGAUGUGGGAAGGCCCAGACAGCCAGGAUGUUGGCUUAGAAGCAGCCAUCAUUUAAAGAAAGCGUAAUAGCUCACUGGUCGAGUCGGCCUGCGCGGAAGAUGUAACGGGGCUAAACCAUGCACCGAAGCUGCGGCAGCGACACUGUGUGUUGUUGGGUAGGGGAGCGU
rnacentral:rRNA from 1 species